UACAGAGGGUGCGAGCGUUGUCCGGAAUCACUGGGCGUAAAGGGCGCGUAGGUGGCGGCCCAAGUCCAUGGUGAAAGCUCGAUGCUCAACAUCGAGUCGGCCACGGAUACUGGGUUGCUCGAGCACUGGUAGGGGCAGAUGGAAUUCCGGGUGUAGCGGUGGAAUGCGUAGAGAUGUGGAGGAACACCGAUGGCGAAGGCAGCCUCCGUGGGCCAGCACUGACGCUCAUGCACGAAAGCGUGGGGAGCAAACAGG
rnacentral:rRNA from 1 species